rnacentral:rRNA from 1 species
UACGAAGGGGGCUAGCGUUGCUCGGAAUCACUGGGCGUAAAGGGUGCGUAGGCGGGUCUUUAAGUCAGGGGUGAAAUCCUGGAGCUCAACUCCAAAACUGCCUUUGAUACUGAAGAUCUUGAGUCCGGGAGAGGUGAGUGGAACUGCGAGUGUAGAGGUGAAAUUCGUAGAUAUUCGCAAGAACACCAGUGGCGAAGGCGGCUCACUGGCCCGGUACUGACGCUGAGGCACGAAAGCGUGGGGAGCAAACAGGG